GUCCACGCCGUAAACGUUGGGCACUAGGUGUGGGUCUCAACCAACGAGAUCCGUGCCGCAGCUAACGCAUUAAGUGCCCCGCCUGGGGAGUACGGCCGCAAGGCUAAAACUCAAAGGAAUUGACGGGGGCCCGCACAAGCGGCGGAGCAUGUUGCUUAAUUCGAGGCAACGCGAAGAACCUUACCUGGGUUUGACAUGUAGAGAAAAGCCGUAGAGAUACGGUGUCCGCAAGGGUUCUACACAGGUGGUGCAUGGCUGUCGU
rnacentral:rRNA from 1 species